rnacentral:rRNA from 1 species
UGCAGGAGCGUUCCAGCCUUCAAUCCAGGUCUCAGAAGCUAAGGAAGACUUGCCCAGGUCUGUACUGGGGUGGUGGACCUUCAAAGAAAACCAGGUUGCUGCAGUAA